GCUCCAGUGGUGCAAUCGGUCAGCGCGCGGUACUUAUAAUGCCGAGGUGGUGAGAUCGAGUCUCACCUGGAGCA